CGGGAGCAAUCCUGGUGGCGAGUGGCGAACGGGUGAGUAAAGCAUCGGAACGUGCCCAGUCGUGGGGGAUAACGUAGCGAAAGCUACGCUAAUACCGCAUACGAUCUGUGGAUGAAAGCGGGGGACCGUAAGGCCUCGCGCGAUUGGAGCGGCCGAUGUCAGAUUAGGUAGUUGGUGGGGUAAAGGCUCACCAAGCCGACGAUCUGUAGCUGGUCUGAGAGGACGACCAGCCACACUGGGACUGAGACACGGCCCAGACUCCUACGGGAGGCAGCAGUGGGGAAUUUUGGACAAUGGGCGCAAGCCUGAUCCAGCAAUGCCGCGUGCAGGAUGAAGGCCUUCGGGUUGUAAACUGCUUUUGUACGGAGCGAAAAGGCUUCCACUAAUACUGGGGGCUCAUGACGGUACCGUAAGAAUAAGCACCGGCUAACUACGUGCCAGCAGCCGCGGUAAUACGUAGGGUGCAAGCGUUAAUCGGAAUUACUGGGCGUAAAGCGUGCGCAGGCGGUCUUGUAAGACAGGUGUGAAAUCCCCGGGCUUAACCUGGGAACUGCACUUGUGACUGCAAGGCUGGAGUACGGCAGAGGGGGAUGGAAUUCCGCGUGUAGCAGUGAAAUGCGUAGAUAUGCGGAGGAACACCGAUGGCGAAGGCAAUCCCCUGGGCCUGUACUGACGCUCAUGC
rnacentral:rRNA from 1 species